GGGUGUCCGCACUAAGUUCGGCAUCAAUAUGGUGACCUCCCGGGAGCGGGGGACCACCAGGUUGCCUAAGGAGGGGUGAACCGGCCCAGGUCGGAAACGGAGCAGGUCAAAACUCCCGUGCUGAUCAGUAGUGGGAUCGCGCCU
ensembl:misc_RNA Metazoa_SRP Metazoan signal recognition particle RNA